rnacentral:rRNA from 1 species
CCUACGGGAGGCAGCAGUGGGGAAUAUUGGACAAUGGGCGAAAGCCUGAUCCAGCCAUGCCGCGUGUGUGAAGAAGGCCUUCGGGUUGUAAAGCACUUUCAGUGGGGAAGAAAGCCUUGGGGCUAAUACCCUCGAGGAAGGACAUCACCCACAGAAGAAGCACCGGCUAACUCCGUGCCAGUAGCCGCGGUAAUACGGAGGGUGCGAGCGUUAAUCGGAAUUACUGGGCGUAAAGCGCGCGUUGGCGGUCUGAUAAGCCGGUUGUGAAAGCCCCGGGCUCAACCUGGGAACGGCAUCCGGAACUGUCAGGCUAGAGUGCAGGAGAGGAAGGUAGAAUUCCCGGUGUAGCGGUGAAAUGCGUAGAGAUCGGGAGGAAUACCAGUGGCGAAGGCGGCCUUCUGGACUGACACUGACGCUGAGGUGCGAAAGCGUGGGUAGCAAACAGGAUUAGAUACCCGGGUAGUC